rnacentral:rRNA from 1 species
AAAAACCCAGGUGGUGUGAGAUGGAUCCGCGUCUGAUUAGCCAGUUGGCGGGGUAACGGCCCACCAAAGCGACGAUCAGUAGCCGACCUGAGAGGGUGACCGGCCACAUUGGGACUGAGACACGGCCCAAACUCCUACGGGAGGCAGCAGUGGGGAAUAUUGCACAAUGGGCGGAAGCCUGAUGCAGCGACGCCGCGUGAGUGAAGAAGUAUCUCGGUAUGUAAAGCUCUAUCAGCAGGGAAGAAAAUGACGGUACCUGACUAAGAAGCCCCGGCUAACUACGUGCCAGCAGCCGCGGUAAUACGUAGGGGGCAAGCGUUAUCCGGAUUUACUGGGUGUAAAGGGAGCGUAGACGGCGACGCAAGUCUGGAGUGAAAGCCCGGGGCCCAACCCCGGGACUGCUUUGGAAACUGUGCUGCUGGAGUGCAGGAGAGGUAAGUGGAAUUCCUAGUGUAGCGGUGAAAUGCGUAGAUAUUAGGAGGAACACCAGUGGCGAAGGCGGCUUACUGGACUGUAACUGACGUUGAGGCUCGAAAGCGUGGGGAGC